UUGGCCGCUUUUUUUAAAUUCACAAUAUCAUUGGCGGGAAUCCUCGCCCGAGAGGGCGCCACUAGACGGACAACUUGUCCUUUUGGUGCUUGGCGCGCAUUCAUGAUCAAUGAUCAUCAACAUUUCUAUAUACACUAGCACCAACUACCAACUACUUUACCAACUAUUGCGCACUAUUGCGUUGUAGGUUGUAGGUUGUUCGAGACGAAACGAGCGUCAUUGUAGAUGUUGAUCUUGGUCAGUUGUUUUGACCUUUCAAGGGUCAUGCUGAUCUGUGUGCAAAAGACCCAAAUUUUUUGCAACAGUGGUGUCUAUUCGGUGAAUAAAUUUACCGUCAAUAAUAACAGGAAUGGAAGAAGAUCUUUUGUCGCACCUGCAGAUUAAAUUUGUCAAU